rnacentral:rRNA from 1 species
UACGUAGGGGGCAAGCGUUGUCCGGAUUUAUUGGGCGUAAAGCGCUCGCGGGUGGUUCAUUGCGUCGUGCGUGAAAGACCCCGGCUCAACUGGGGAGGGUCGUGCGAAACGGGUGAACUAGAGGCCAGUAGGGGGAUGCGGAAUUCCGGGUGUAGUGGUGGAAUGCGUAGAGAUCCGGAGGAACACCAGCGGCGAAGGCGGCAUCCUGGACUGGUCCUGACACUCAGGAGCGAAAGCGUGGGGAGCGAUCCGG